UCGUUACUUCCUCCUCUCCUCCUUCACUUCUUCUUCUUCAGCGAAGAAGGAAACCCUAUCACAGCAACCACCACUUUCUUCUUCGUUUUGCAGACAUAACUCUAUCACAACAACCUCCAUCUUCUUCUUCACUUCUUCUUUAGUUACUAACAUCUCAAUCUGAUUUUGGGUAAAGAAGAUUAGUUUUUUAGAGUUCUUAUUAUAUUGCAUGUUUGAUUAAACAACAUCAACAGCCAUACCCCUGUGAUUCCAUGUUUAUGUGAUUUGAUGAUAGAUGCAGAGAAAAUGGUUAUCAUUAAUUAUCAAUAAUUGAUGUUGUGAAGUUGAUUUGAUGAUGAAUCUGAAGUUUAGGUUUCAUAAGAGGAAUUUAAAGAAGACUUGGAAGAUGAAAUUGAAGGUAUGGAAGGGUGGGAUUCGUGGGAAUCAAAAAUAAGGAUUUUUGAGAUUUGGGUUCUUAUUUAACUUUAAUUGCAAGAGAAGAAACAUUGGUGGAGACUGAAAUCUAGUGUGAAGGAGUCUGCUGAAUUUAGUAGAACAUGGGAAUGGAUCAAAUUUGAUGGAUUUUGGUAAAGAAUCUAAAGAUGCAGAUGCAGUUCUUGAUGAUGCUUGCUGGAUUUGGUGGUUUAUUUAUGUUUAUGUCUCUACUCAAUUUCUUUUUAAUUCUGUUUAUGUCUCCUUGCAAACAAUCUUUUUAUUGUAUUUUUGUUCAAUUUCUUAGGAAUCUGGAAAUGUUUAAAUUUUGUGAAUUUAAUAAGUUUGAUAGAUUGAUAUUA